CGGGCUAACUUAUGUUAAGGAUUUCAUUUACAUUGAAGUUUUUUCUGUUCAAUUCGGAAUAGCUUGA
rnacentral:tRNA from 1 species